rnacentral:rRNA from 1 species
GACGAACGCUGGCGGCGUGCUUAACACAUGCAAGUCGAGCGGUAAGGCCCUUUCGGGGGUACACGAGCGGCGAACGGGUGAGUAACACGUGGGUGACCUGCCCUCAGCUCUGGGAUAAGCCUGGGAAACUGGGUCUAAUACUGGAUAUGACUCCACGGUGCAUGUCGUGGGGUGGAAAGCCUUGUGCGGCUGAGGAUGGGCCCGCGGCCUAUCAGCUUGUUGGUGGGGUGANGGCCUACCAGGGCGACGACGGGUAGCCGGCCUGAGAGGGCGACCGGCCACACUGGGACUGAGACACGGCCCAGACUCUUACGGGAGGCAGCAGUGGGGAAUCUUGCGCAAUGGGCGAAAGCCUGACGCAGCGACGCCGCGUGAGGGAUGACGGCCU